rnacentral:lncRNA from 1 species
AUGAUUUCUGUCAAAGGGAUGGAGAGCCCACAGACCGAAGUUAACCCCCCGGAAACAUCUGGCAUGCCACUCCCCAAUACAUGGCCUAUUAAAGUGGCUGUGAGGGAGCUAUACGAUUGUUCUUCUGUACAAAAGUGUGUCUUCAGAGCUGUGCAGGAAAGCAUAAAAGGUUGGGCAAUGAUCAGUCUCUCAGGUAAGAAGAUAAAUAUUCAGUCUUUUUUCUUUUCUAAUUGCACUUAGCAUCUGUAUUUAUUUAUUCAAGAAUGGCUCUUUGGGAGCUUGUUCUAGCCCCUUUGAUAAACAAAUGGGGUUCUGUUUCCUUUUUUAGAAACUAAUUAUGCAUUUUGGGAAAGGAGGAGGAUGCAUCUUAAAAGAAAACAACUUAAAAGAGCAAAGAGAGCAUGAUGGAAAGUGCAUACUUAAAAACACUAGUGUCUGUUUUGCAGAUUUGUAAAAGCUAUGAAAAAUAGAGGCUGGCCAAACCAUUUUGCAUUUCGGCCUCCAUUUCAUUAGCUUCUGGGUUAGCCUUCCCUGGGGUACCUGAUGCUCAAGGCACAGGAAAAGACACCUCCAUUGAUCUUUCUGCAGUCAGAAGAGAGUCUCUGUGCUUAUUCCUUCAGCAUCCAGGCACCAAGAACUGCAGAGAAACUGCAGCUAAGCACAUUCCAGGCACCCCCAGCAAUUUUCAGCUUUCCUGGUAUCUUGGUCAUUUUCCGAAGAGGUAUUGCAUCAGUUCUUUUUAAAAGCAGAAGUACUUCUUGAGAACAUCUUGGGAAAAAAAACAAACAAACAAACAAACAAAAACAAACAAAACCAAAACAAAACAAAAAAACAUCUGGGGAAGAACACAGAUCUUCGUAAGAAAGAGAAAGACAAAUGGCUAAAAAGGAAUUUAAGAAGUGAUAUUCAUGAACCAGGGUUCAUUUUCAAACACUCUCAGAAGUCUAUGUAAUUAUUAAGGACUUAGUGUUAAUUUACCUACUCUCCAUUCAUUUCCACUGAUCAUGCUCACUUAGAGGCCAGGAUGGAAGACAAGUAGCUAAAUGUGCCUAAGGGAAAGUGCCUGUGGAAAUUGCUCUUUCAAGUAGGUGGAGGUGGGGAGGAACAAAGGAGAAGUGUAAAGUUAUCACAUGAAACUGCUAGUGAAAC